rnacentral:ncRNA from 1 species
GUAGGUAGAGGUUGCGAUAUUUAAGAGUAUGUUUAUUGAGGUAAGCACGUUGAUAUAAACGGAAAGGAAAUUUCGCCGAAACGUAUAGUUGAUGCUUUAAGACUAUAGCGUUGGGGUUAUACAAAAUAUGUAUGACACUGUCACAAAAUUUUUGUGAAGAGCUAUC